rnacentral:rRNA from 1 species
AACGAACGCUGGCGGCAUGCCUAACACAUGCAAGUCGAACGAGACCUUCGGGUCUAGUGGCGCACGGGUGCGUAACGCGUGGGAACCUGCCCUUAGGUUCGGAAUAACUCCCCGAAAGGGGUGCUAAUACCGGAUAAUGUCUUCGGACCAAAGAUUUAUCGCCUUUGGAUGGGCCCGCGUUGGAUUAGCUAGUUGGUAGGGUAAAAGCCUACCAAGGCGACGAUCCAUAGCUGGUCUGAGGGGAUGAUCAGCCACACUGGGACUGAGACACGGCCCAGACUCCUACGGGAGGCAGCAGUGGGGAAUAUUGGACAAUGGACGAAAGCCUGAUCCAGCAAUGCCGCGUGAGUGAUGAAGGCCUUAGGGUUGUAAAGCUCUUUUACCCGGGAUGAUAAUGACAGUACCGGGAGAAUAAGCUCCGGCUAACUCCGUG